rnacentral:rRNA from 1 species
AGAGCGAACGCUGGCGGCAGGCUUAACACAUGCAAGUCGAGCGGGCGUAGCAAUACGUCAGCGGCAGACGGGUGAGUAACGCGUGGGAACAUACCUUUUGGUUCGGAACAACCCGGGGAAACUUGGGCUAAUACCGGAUAAGCCCUUACGGGGAAAGAUUUAUCGCCGAAAGAUUGGCCCGCGUCUGAUUAGCUAGUUGGUGAGGUAACGGCUCACCAAGGCGACGAUCAGUAGCUGGUCUGAGAGGAUGAUCAGCCACAUUGGGACUGAGACACGGCCCAAAACUCCUACGGGAGGCAGCAGUGGGGAAUAUUGGACAAUGGGCGCAAGCCUGAUCCAGCCAUGCCGCGUGAGUGAUGAAGGCCCUAGGGUUGUAAAGCUCUUUUGUGCGGGAAGAUAAUGACGGUACCGCAAGAAUAAGCCCCGGCUAACUUCGUGCCAGCAGCCGC